rnacentral:rRNA from 1 species
CCUACGGGUGGCAGCAGUGGGGAAUAUUGGGCAAUGGGCGCAAGCCUGACCCAGCAACGCCGCGUGAGGGAAGAAGGCUUUCGGGUUGUAAACUUCUUUUAAGAGGGAAGAGCAGAAGACGGUACCUCUUGAAUAAGCCACGGCUAACUACGUGCCAGCAGCCGCGGGAAUACGUAGGUGGCAAGCGUUGUCCGGAUUUACUGGGGGUAAAGGGCGUGCAGCCGGGAAGACAAGUAAGAUGUGAAAUCCCGCGGCUCAACCGCGGAACUGCAUUUGAAACUGUUGUUCUUGAGUGCCGGAGAGGUCAUCGGAAUUCCUUGUGUAGCGGUGAAAUGCGUAGAUAUAAGGAAGAACACCAGUGGCGAAGGCGGAUGACUGGACGGCAACUGACGGUGAGGCGCGAAAGCGUGGGGAGCAAACAGGAUUAGAUACCCGAGUAGUC